rnacentral:misc_RNA from 1 species
GAAAUGCGAUAAGUAAUGUGAAUUGCAGAAUUCAGUGAAUCAUCGAAUCUUUGAACGCACCUUGCGCUCCUUGGUAUUCCUUGGAGCAUGCCUGUUUGAGUAUCAUGAAAUCUUCAAAGUAAAUCUUUUGUUAACUCAAUUGGUUUCUACUUUGGUAUUGGAGGUCUUUGCAGCUUCACACAUGCUCCUCUUUGUUCAUUAGCUGGAUCUCAGUGUUAUGCUUGGUUCCACUCGGCGUGAUAAGUUAUCUAUCGCUGAGACACUGUAAAAGGUGGCCAAGGUAAAUGCAGAUGAACCGCUUCUAAUAGUCCAUUGACUUGGACAAUACUUUUAUGAUCUGAUCUCAAAUCAGGUAGGACUACCCGCUGAACUUAAGC